GAUGGAUGACUACAUCAACAACCAGGUAACUGAAGAAAAUGAGAACAGAGCAACGAGGAGAGUGAAGACUGAGACCCAUCGCUCAGGACCUGAGGAUUCAGGGAGAAGACUCUACAGGAUGGUUGCUGUGAGCUUUGGGAUGCUGUGUGUUCUACAAGUCACUCUCAACAUCUUCCUGAGACUAGUCUAUGCAGAGAGAGACCAGCUACAUACCAGAUACAACAACC